UACGUAGGGUGCGAGCGUUGUCCGGAAUUAUUGGGCGUAAAGCGCGUGUAGGCGGUCCACUAAGUCGGCUGUGAAAGUCCAGGGCUCAACCCUGGGAUGCCGGUCGAUACUGGUGGACUAGAGUCCGGAAGAGGCGAGUGGAAUUCCCGGUGUAGCGGUGAAAUGCGCAGAUAUCGGGAGGAACACCAAUGGCGAAGGCAGCUCGCUGGGACGGUACUG
rnacentral:rRNA from 1 species